rnacentral:lncRNA from 1 species
AUGCAGGAAGCUUCUAAGUGCAAGAUUGGGUCGUUGGGACAGCAGCAACAGCAUUGCUCACAUCUGAAAGCCCAAAUGUUGAGAGUAGUUAACACUUCACCACAAUCAGCUCUGACUAGAGAAAGAGAAAAACUAAGUACUUGGUGGCAGCAUCACAAUCCAGGAGCACCCCAGUCGGCACACAAUAGCGAAAGUAGAUCUUGCCCCACUGUUGGCUUUUCUUUGUUAAAAUUUUUAUCACCCAAACCCAUCAUUCAGUUUUCCUAUCUUUCUGGGCCCUAUUUCAGCUGUCACUAUGUAAGUAGGAGCCAAUUGCAAACCAUGCCCAAGGUCAAUUCUGCACUAAAAUUCCAGCAUUUAGCAUUUAUGGAUUUAGAAGACUAAAAGCUGAGAUAAAGAGAUGAAAAAUUAGCUUCACACUCAAAUCUCACAAUCAGCACAGUGUGUUAUGAAGUCCUCGGUAUACAACUUAUUUAAGAUCACCUUUUAAAGAAAUGUGUAAAUUUAAAGAAAAUAAGAAUAAUUG